rnacentral:ncRNA from 1 species
UGUAUCAUGGGCUAAGGUUUGUAUCUCUAGCUAAACUGUAGUCGUACCACGUAACAUCCAAUAUUUCAUCAGUUACGUCAAUGGUUAUCUAUUCAAAUAGUGAACAUAGAUCGAUUGAAACCAGUUUGUUGAUCGACUUUUUAAAUUUUGUAAGAAUAUAGACAGUUUUGAUUUUGAUCGAUAAGCUUACCUUUUCUUUUAUCUAUCAUAUUUAUCCCUAUGUGGGUUUAUUAGUAACCAAUAACCAAAUUAUAAAAAAGAUAUAUUUGACAUUAUAGGUCAAUAAUAUCUCACAUUUGUUGUGAACAAGACAAACACAUGUAUAGGGAUGAAAUUUAUGUCCUAUCAAAUUUCGAUAGUAGGAUAGUGGCUUACUAUGGUGGUGACGGGUGACAAAGAAUUAGGGUUCAAUUUCGAAUAAGGAGCUCGAUAAAUGGCUACCACAUUAAAUAAAGACGACAUACGUAAAUUACCCAAUCCGAAAGGUAGUGGCAAUAAAUAGCAAUAUCAAACUCUUUAGUCGGGUAAUUGAAACGAGCAAAAUCUAAAUCUUUUAACACGAAUAAAUUGGAGGACAAGUUUGGUAGCAUAGCAGCACUAAU